AAAUAAGAAGCAAAAUCUGCAAUUAGUUUCGGCCUAAUCAUUGGUAUCGAUAAAUACCCUUAUUUU
rnacentral:tRNA from 1 species